rnacentral:lncRNA from 1 species
CAUUUGAGCCAAAGAGUGUUCAAAAGGAAAAGUCAACGUUGCAAAGCUAUAGCUGUUCCUAAGUGCUGUGUGUGAGGGGUGUGUGAUGUGUGUGUGUCAUCCUGGCUUUAAACAAACUUUUGAGAGCUGUAGUAUGCUCAGUUGUUUUUGCUACACAGACUGGUAAAAUACAUGUGGAGAUUUCUGAAAGAAACAGGAGAAAAAAAUGGUAGGAAAGAAUAUAGGAGCCCUCUUUGGGGUCAGACAAUUCUGGAAGAGGAGAAAGAAGAGGAGGGGAGAGGAAAAGUAGAGAAGAGAGAGGACAAGGAGGAGAGGGUGGCCAGGAAGAGAGGCCCCAGCUCAGCAAUUGUCAGGUUCCAGCCCCAGCUGAGAUCCGAGGGGAGUGGGUGGAUGGGGCAAGGUGUGGGGGUUGCUGGAAGAACACUCGAGGAGUGGGUGGACGGGGCGGCGGGCGGCGGUGGCUGAAAGAACACUUGAGAGACAGCAGGUAAAUCAGACGUGGCUUUAUUCAGCAUCUCUCAUCAGCUGUUCACUUAUACUGUCCGCUCUGUCUAGGCUGCUUACUCUGGCCACUCCCACACAGAGCUGCACAGCCGGCUCUCGUUUGCCUUCAGGGUCAGCAGCUUAAUUCUUUCUCUGGGCACGAGCAGCCUGAGCUGUGUCCUGGCUCCCCUCUGUUCAUCUGCAAAGACGGACAGCUCUGUCUCUCUCUUUCUCUGGGUUCCAGCACGCCUGUACAGUGUCAGCAAGGCAAUUAUGUCUUUACAGACAAUAGUGGCUUAGAGCCAAGUGAUAAGCCUUCCCGUGUUAUGGCUACAUGGCUGUGAUAACAGGUGGAGUUAUACGCCUGCACUGUAAACUCGCUGAGUCACUCUGGAUGUAUACCUCGGCCUGUGCUUGACCAAAGCACAGCCAUGUUCCUUGCAGCAAUUCAGCUCCGCGUACUGUGCCGUCACUGUAUUCCAGUACCUGUAACCUAAACAGCUUUCUGUGCCCUGCUAUUCAACGAGGUGUCUUCAGGGGAAGGUGUCAUGAUGAAUGUCCAGUGCUCUGGGCAUCUCCGAGUUCAGCCAGGUGAACUCAUCUGUAUCUAUGCUAAUAAACAACAGAAUAGAGAUAAAGGAAAGUUAUAGAGCAAUUAUCCAACCUCCCUUUCUUAAGUCAAUGGAUUACUUUCCUUUCCCCUAACAUUGGACAUCAGAGAUACCCACAAGGAGCCCCAUGUUCUCAACUACUUCCCUGGCCACUGACUUCAUCUGGCAGAGGAGCUGAGCAGCGGUAAAAUAGAAAAGGCAAUAAGAGAAGUGAAGUGAGAAAGGAAGAAGGGGCUUGAUUGUCAACAGAGUGAGAAAUCACCUCCUGGAAAAUGAAGCCUGUACUGUACAAGAACAACAAAAUGAUGAUGAUAAUAACAAUAAUAACAGUAAUUAGAUGUUGCUAUAAUGACCUCAUAAAGCCCAGUUUUUGCAGAAAAAUAAUUUCUUCCUGCUCGUGACGUUGAGGAACUGACAUCGCUUCCUGUGGCUUAGAGACUCAAACAGAGCAUGGGGCCCACGUUACCACUUCUGAAAGGAACAUUCCCUGUAAACAGAGUGAGUCAAGCCAGUGUCGUUUCCCUGGUGAUCGGAGCAUAGUGAUCCUUCUACAAGGCAUACACCCAGCACGCUCCAUGCAGAAAAUCAAUGAGCCUGGUCAGGCAUUUCAGCUUUAAUUAUCUGAGUUGUUGUCAACAACAGAAAUCCCAGUGAAAACAAACAGCCACCAUGCUGUUUUGGGGGCCCUGACAUCUAACUCCCUAGUGUCAGAAUAUAGCUUUUUCAGAGCCAAAGACUGAAGUGAGGUGGGGAGAGAGAAAGGGCAGCUAUCCCCCGGGUCAUGCACUCAGUUGUCGAGGUGCUGAGAGCCACCCUGCACGUUUGACCUGCUGGGCAGGAGGUGGAGCUGGAGCCAGCAGGGACAGCGCCCGGGUCCAGGGCAGAUGUGCGCCUCCUGCUGCCCUGGAGAGGCGGUAAUAGCACAGUGGUCAGAGCAAAGGCUCCUGAUUCAGGCAUGGUCUGAUCCUGCCUCCUCUGAUAACUUGCUGGAUAAUCUUGGUGGUUCUGGAAAGCUUAUAAGCCUCAGUGCCCCUGUCCAAGGGUGUGAGGAUCUCAGGAGAUAAUUCACAUAGAAAGUCCUGCACAGCUGCUAUUGCCCCUGGGACCAGGCUUCUGGACACCACCCUCCUCUCCUCCGGUUUCCCACCCUGAUGUCUCAGUCUUGCCUUCCACUCGCCCUCCUGUACGGCAUCUACUCACCUAGCUCUGGCCCCUUCCGCUGCCACAUUUAGUCCUGCUGUCCCCUCCCAGGUGCUGGUAGAGAAGCCAAGGAGGUAAGGGUUGA